CACCGGCGUCCUGAGUGGGAAUCACUUAUUAGGUCUCAAGCGCUCGUAGUCGGCUUUGUAAAUUUCUUGUGAAAUCGUGUCGCUUAACGGCACGGCGUGCAGGAAACACUGCAGAGCUUGGGACUGGGAGGCGUCAGAAGUAUUCCUUAGGGAGCGGUAAGAUGUGAUAAUCUAAGGAGGACUACCUGUGGCGAAGGCGUCUGACGAGAACAGGUUCGACGAUCAGGAGCGAAGGCUAGGGGAGCAAACCGG
rnacentral:rRNA from 1 species